rnacentral:rRNA from 1 species
UACGUAGGGGGCGAGCGUUGUCCGGAGUUACUGGGCGUAAAGGGCGUGCAGGCGGUGCGGUAAGUUUAGGGGGACAGUAUCCGGCUUAACUGGAUAAGGCCUCUGAAAACUGCCGGACUUGAGGGCCAGAGAGGGACAUAGAAUUCCGGGUGGAGUGGUGAAAUGCGUAGAUAUCCGGAGGAAUACCAAAGGCGAAGGCAGUGUCCUGGCUGGCAACUGACGCUGAGGCGCGAAAGCUAGGGGAGCGAACAGG